AUUGAACGCUGGCGGCAUGCCUAACACAUGCAAGUCGAACGGAGCGGCGAACGGGUGAGUAAUGCCUAGGAAUCUGCCCGGUAGUGGGGGAUAACUUCGGGAAAGGGGAGCUAAUACCGCAUACUAUAAGAGCGGCCUAGGUCGGAUUAGCUAGUUGGUGGGGUAAAGGCUUACCAAGGCGACGAUCCGUAGCUGGUCUGAGAGGAUGAUCAGUCACACUGGAACUGAGACACGGCCCAGACUCCUACGGGAGGCAGCAGUGGGGAAUAUUGGACAAUGGGCGAAACCCUGAUCCAGCCAUGCCGCGUGUGUGAAGAAGGUCUUCGGAUUGUAAAGCACUUUUAGUAGGGAAGCGUUACCUACAGAAUAAGCACCGGCUAACUACGUGCCAGCAGCCGCGGUAAUAC
rnacentral:rRNA from 1 species